AUGGACUUACACAUUAUUCAGUUUUUGUAAUUGCCAGUGAUUUAGGUACUUUAUCAUCCCUAUUUUAUAGAUGAAGAAAUUGUGGCUUAGUAAAGUGAAGGAACCUGCCCAACGAUAACACCUAGCCAAUGAUCGGCCUUGGAUUUGAACACAGGCACUUUGACAUCAGAAAAAAUGUCAUUACUUCUUGAAUAUAUUCACGUUGCUAUAGAAUUCAUCAUUUCACCCGCUUGUUAUUGAGAUUUACAGCAGGGUCAGGCUCAGGCUGGGCAAAGGGAGUAUCAGCAUUAAGAAUAAACACUCUCUAUUGCUGUAGCCAUGUGUUCCAUGAAACAAACUCACUCAGGACAAUGCAGAUAGUGGAAUGCAGUUUAUUGCACCAGCAGGCCCAAGGUAGAGUCUCCUCUUAGCCAAGGACCCUGACCAGUUUUUGUGAAAACCUUACGCACCCUAAGUGUACAUGCCCAAACCCACCUCCCCAAAUUGCCUGAAACUAGUCUGAACAAAGGAAAAGAAAGAUACAAUCAAAGUUAACCUGUGAUUCAUAUGCCUUAGGCCUAGGUAGUUAGCAGCGGGCAAUUAUCAAUAGGCCUGUGGUCACAUCCCGAUAAGCAUAAUACCUGGCGUGCUGCGAUUCUUGGGGUCGCAAAGAGUCGGACACGACUGAGCGACUGAGCUGAACUGAACUGAAUUGAUUCAGUUACACAGAUAAUUAGGGUAUUCUUUUAGGCGAAGGAGAGUCUAGGUACGAGCCCUGGUGCUUUUCCUUCUGGGGGUCUGGUUUUCCACUUGGUAUGUCGUUUCCAUUGAUACUGGGCAUAUAGCUCAAAGUUCUCAGUCCGGCCCAAGAUAGAGUCCUGCUUUCAUGGAGCCUGUUCUGUCUGUUUCCUUCUUCACUAUCAACAAAAUCCUCUAAAUCCUAGAGUCUCAGAACUCCAUGAGUGGUGUUCCUUCAUUCCUUCAGGAUCCCUCAACAUAUACUGAAUAUCUGCCAUUUUCAAGGCCCUGAGCGAGGAGAAUAAAGAUGAAAGGACAGAAUUCCUGUCUCAAUGAGCUCUCAAGCUAGCGCACUGAAGGCAAUUACAAGGCAUUCAGGAAACCACUCUGACCCCAUGCCCACUUCCACCCGACUCCAUGGAACAUUGUGGAGCUUGUCCUUCUAGAGUUACAUGUAUUGUCAGAAAUUCCUCAACAUAGAGCUCCAGUCAGAUAACACCAAUUAACUGGAUUUAGGACUUGAAAUGAAACCUAUUUCUAACCCUCACUUAGCGCAAAAGCAGACCUCAAGGUACACGUGAACUAGAAGGCAAGCUUGCGGGCAUCAUGGAGUUCUUGGGUGGGUCCUGAAAGAUUCCCCAGUCCAACCCUCUCACUUUUCCAUGAAGGAAUGAAAGCCCAGACAAAGGCAGUGAAUAAGACAGGAUCAGGCCAAGAACUGAGAUCUCCCAAGCCCUUUCCACCAGACCACAGUGUGUUCCCUCUGUCUGCCCUGCCUUUAACCAUGAAGGAGAGGCAACCAGGCCGAGGAUUUUCCUAUGGAGCAAAAAAACAAAAAGAGCCUUACACUGACAUUUGCAAGUAUCUGCAAAACCUUCUCAAUGAAGAGCUCAAUUGACCUGGGUGAGGAGACACCAAGUGGUGCUUCCUAGAGGCUGGGGCUGAUCUUUUGAUUUGUACGGCGUUUCUUUCAACUUAUCCCUUUAAUUAACAUGGAAAAAAAUGACAUCUCUGUCAGCUCAUGCCAAGUCUCCCCCACAUUUAGCUUGGCAUGCUGAGAUGUGAACUUGAGGUAUCUGUGAGCAAAAGUUCAGAAAGCUAAAAUAGGAAGCAUCAACAGGUGGAACUGCUAUGUGUGCACUUACCAGGAUCAAUUUUCCACUUAGACAGCUUUUGCCCAGUUGUGCUAACUACUAACCAAUCUAUACUUCCUAAUGGAUUAAAGCAGAAAGGUCAGGCAUCAUAAAAUCAUCCAUUUCCCAUUCAUUAAUAUUCGAAUGUGGGUUCCUGAUCCUGCCCUGGGCUACAUAACAAGAGGGCUUCUUAUAACCAGGUUACAAGAAGACCAACAGCCCACACCAUAUAGAAACGUGGUUUGUGUGCAGUUUUCUGAAUGAAUGAUUGAGUGAAUGAAUUAAACAGUACAUGAAUAAGCGAAUUAAACGCCAGGCUUCCCAGGUGGCACAGUGGUAAAGAAUUGACCUGCUCAUGCAGGAGAUGCAAGAGUCACGAGUUUGAUUCCUGGAUUGGGAAGAUGCCCUGGAGGCAUUGCAGGCAGAUUCUUUAUCACCUGAGCCACCACGGAAACCAGGAAAUGGCUAGACUCCAGUAUUCUUGCCUGAAGAAUUCCAUGGACAGAGGAGCCUGGUGGGCUACCGUCUACGGGGUUGCAAAGAAUCAGACAUGGCAGAGUGAUUGAUCACAGACGUGAUAGUUGAUCAUUUAUAUGAGAAAUUAUGUCAAGGGCUGGGACUAAGGUGAGUGUCUCACUCACCAGGAGCCAAAUUUAUUCAGUAAUCUUGGUACGUAUAUUUUAUGAAAUGUUUUAAAAUUAAUGUGUUCAUGAUUAAAUAUCAGAAUUUUACAUCAAAAUCAGUUGAGCUAUGUUUAUAAUGGAGAGAGAGAUUUACAUUUAUUUAGAGGUAAGAGGACUGUGAGUAAGACAGGAAAACCCAGGCUAAAACCUUGCCUCUGGAAAUCAUUAGCUGUGUAGCUUUGGGGAUUUUCAUUACCAAUGGCCUCAGUUUCCUCAUUAUUUAAAUGGAGAUAAUAGCUCCCAUUCAUGUAAUUGCUGUAAGGAUUAAAUACACAAAGGACACAACUCCCAGAUUAUUUAUUUCAUUUAUUUAGUCACCUUUUUCAAAAGCCUUCUUUUUCUCAAGCAUAUGUGCAUGUUACAAAAAUUAGGAAAAAAUGAGAAAACAGAGGAUGGAAUAAUAUGAAUUGAGUUCCAGAUGCUGGGUCAGACACUUUAUUAAGCGUUUGUAUGUUUGGAUGGAGACUGAACAGAAAGAGCUUUCUUCAAUGGGAGAGAUGUCCUCUGGGCCCAAACUGAGUGUAUCAGGGAUGUGUUCUAGGGCUGGAAGUACCAUCUUUUCAACAGCUACUCCAUGACACGCAUUUUCUCUCUAUAAUCUAUUUGAACUAUUAUACUCACUGUGUGUGUGUGUGUGUGUGUGUGUGUGUGUACCAUAUAUCCAUGCUACAACUGAGUAAGCUAAAUUUCAAAAGUGUAGGUAAAUUUUCUGAGAUCAUAUAGCUCGUCAGGAGAUUCUACAUGGCCCGUGUUUUCUAUCACACUUUCUCAAGAUACGGGAGGUGGAAACCUCAUAGGCGAGACACUCCCACACAAAAAGUAGAGUUUUAUGGACAUGCUCCAUAGGGAAAGAUUUAAAGAAUAAAUGAAUGGUUCCAAGAAAUCUAAUCUCUUUAAUCUAUCUGCAUAAACCCACACAAUAUGUGGUGUUCAUUAAGUACCACCAUUAAAUUAAAAAUGCGUUGGGACACCAAUAAAACCAGUGUUUUAAUUGGGGGAAAUUAAGAAACAAGUGUGGAAGUGAGCAAACUGCACAGAGACACAAACUUUGAAGGAACUAAAAUAAAAAUAAGUGGUCCAGUGGCUGAGACUCCGCCUGCCUAUGCAGCAGACAUGGGUUCAAUCCCUGGUCCAGGAAGAUUCCACGUGUGUCUGAGAAACUAAGUCCAUGUCCCAUAACUACUGAAUCUGUGCUCUAAGCCCCAUGUGCAGCAACUAUUGAAACCUGUGUGCCCCAAAGCCUGUCCUCUGCAACAAGAGGAGGCUUUACAAUGAGAAAUCCAUGCACUACAACUUGGGAGUAGCUGCCAUGACUAGAGAAAGCCUGUGUGCAGCAACAGGGACCCAGUGCAACCAAAAUGAAUAAAUAAAUAACAUUUUUUUAAAAAA
ensembl:lncRNA